rnacentral:tRNA from 1 species
CCGGGAUAGCUCAGCUGGUAGAGCAGAGGACUG